rnacentral:lncRNA from 10 species
UAAGUUAAAAGGUACCUUUAUUCUGUCAGUGAGCAGGUAUUUUUUUAUGACCAUUUCCUGCAAUUGGCGAAAAGUCUCCUUUCAAUUCUACUCCAUAGAGUUGCACUGCUGAACUGGAAAGAUAACCCAGUGUAGUCGUUAUCUCCCUAGGAUCCUCAUCUUCUCUAUCCUCUUUGCCACACUAGUGCUUCUUUGGGUUACAGAGUCACCACUACAGUCUUGUAGCUAGACAUGCCCCUUGUGACAGAGAGGGGGAAAGUCCCUUAUGGUGAUAACUGUUUCAGAUUCAUUAUAGUUCUCUACAAUGGGGAGGCUGGCCUGUUUACCCAGUAAUUAAAAAUAAGAUUUUUACGGGAAGACACAUCCUAAUCUUCGAAUUUUUAUCUGUCAGACAUAGCUCUUCUAUAAAUAUUUUUAACAGGAUGUUAACAGUUAUUAACUUUUUUUCUGAGAUGUCUCACUUUGUUAUCUCACUUUGUUGCCCAGAAUGGAGCGCCAGUGGCAAGAUCUUGGCUCACUGCAACCUCCGCCUCCCACGUUCAAGCGGCUAAUUUUUGUAUUUUUAUUAGAGAUGGGGUCUUGCCAUUUUGGCCAGGCUGGUCUCAAACUACUGACCUCAGGUGAUCCCUAAAGUUGCUGUCUGGUGUGAGCUGCACAUCAUACAGUAGUUUCUGCUCAUUUUUCCUUUCUCAUAUAAUGAAUCAAUAAGUCUUCAUCAUAAAGGAAUGCACCAAGGUGAACUGUGGGUUCCGGCUGCUGCUGCAU